rnacentral:tRNA from 1 species
UUGGGGUUGUGGUAACGGUAGCCGGCCGGUCUCCAAAUCCGUGCAGUCUCGGUUCGAAUCCGAGGCCCCAUGC